GACGAACCGUCCAAACGUUAUUCGGUAUCACUGGGCUUAAAGCGUGCGUAGGCGGUCUAGUAGGUGAGAUGUGAAAGCCCACGGCUCAACCGUGGAAUUGCGUUUCAAACCACUAGGCUUGAGGAUGGCAGGGGUGAUGGGAACUGAUGGUGGAGCGGUGAAAUGCAUUGAUAUCAUCAGGAACACCGGUGGCGAAGGCGCAUCACUGGGCCAUUUCUGACGCUGAGGCACGAAAGCUAGGGUAGCGAACGGGGAUUAGAUA
rnacentral:rRNA from 1 species